rnacentral:rRNA from 1 species
AGAGUUUGAUCCUGGCUCAGAUUGAACGCUGGCGGCAUGCUUUACACAUGCAAGUCGAACGGCAGCACGGGAGCAAUCCUGGUGGCGAGUGGCGAACGGGUGAGUAAUACAUCGGAACGUGUCCUAAAGUGGGGGAUAACGCAUCGAAAGAUGUGCUAAUACCGCAUAAUCUCUACGGAGGAAAGUGGGGGAUCGCAAGACCUCAUGCUUUUGGAGCGGCCGAUGUCUGAUUAGCUAGUUGGUGGGGUAAUGGCUCACCAAGGCGACGAUCAGUAGUUGGUCUGAGAGGACGACCAGCCACACUGGGACUGAGACACGGCCCAGACUCCUACGGGAGGCAGCAGUGGGGAAUUUUGGACAAUGGGCGCAAGCCUGAUCCAGCAAUGCCGCGUGAGUGAAGAAGGCCUU